rnacentral:tRNA from 1 species
GGUUCUAUGGUGUAGUGGAAGCACUUUCGGUUUUGAAAGCUUUCGGGUAUGAUAUCCGGACAACCCCGGUUCGAACCCGGGUAGGACCU